rnacentral:rRNA from 1 species
GAUUAGAUACCCUGGUAGUCCACGCCCUAAACGAUGAGUACUAAACGUUGGAUAAAACCAGUGUUGAAGUUAACACAUUAAGUACUCCGCCUGAGUAGUACGUACGCAAGUAUGAAACUUAAAGGAAUUGACGGGACUCCGCACAAGCGGUGGAUCAUGUUGUUUAAUUCGAAGGUACCCGAAAAACCUCACCAGGUCUUGACAUGCUUUUGCAAAGCUGUAGAAAUACAGUGGAGGUUAUCAAAAGCACAGGUGGUGCAUGGUUGUCGUCAGCUCGUGUCGUGAGAUGUUGGGUUAAGUCCCGCAACGAGCGCAACCCUUGUUGUUAAUUGCCAUCAUUAAGUUGGGGACUUUAGCAAGACUGCCAAUGAUAAAUUGGAGGAAGGUGGGGACGACGUCAAAUCAUCAUGCCCCUUAUGACCUGGGCUACAAACGUGAUACAAUGGCUGUUACAAAGGGUAGCUAAAGCGUAAGCUUCUGGCGAAUCUCAAAAAAGCAGUCUCAGUUCGGAUUGAAGUCUGCAACUCGACUUCAUGAAGUUGGAAUCGCUAGUAAUCGCGAAUCAGCAUGUCGCGGUGAAUACGUUCUCGGGGUUUGUACACACCGCCCGUCAAACCACGAAAGUUGGCAAUACCCAAAGCCGGUGGCCUAACUUGAGCAAUCAAGAAGGAGCCGUCUAAGGUAGGGUUGAUGAUUGGGGUUAAGUCGUAACAAGGUAUCCCUACCGGAAGGUGGGGAUGGAUCACCUCCUU